rnacentral:rRNA from 1 species
UGGUGGAGCGAUUUGUCUGGUUAAUUCCGAUAACGAACGAGACUCUAGCCUGCUAAAUAGACAGUGAAUCGUUAGUUCACUGUACUUCUUAGAGGGACAAGCGGCAUCUAGCUGCACGAGAUUGAGCAAUAACA